UGACACCUGCGAGCUCGAGAAGUAGACGUUGGACAUUAGAUAGAGUUCAAGGUAGAUAGGGAGGUGAGCUUGAUCCAAAUUCUUAGUAGCUGUCAGCUGAUUGAGAGAACUCCAUUGUUCGGAGGUGCUUAUGUUUAUUCUUUUGGUUCCUUUAUGUAUUUUGCGCACGACGGAGUCUUGUUCCGUCUAUAUGUAUAAUAUGCCAGUAGAGUCUCGUAGACGCGCAGUGUGGGUUAGAUGGUCUCACAAGAUUACUAUGUUAUAUUUGUAUAUGUUAUUUUGAUGGCCUAAGGGGCACAUGUAUAUAAAAUCAUUUGUGUUGUCAAAUAAAAA